rnacentral:rRNA from 1 species
UACAGAGGGUGCAAGCGUUAAUCGGAAUUACUGGGCGUAAAGCGUGCGUAGUCGGUUAUUUAAGUCGGGUGUGAAAGCCCUGGGCUCAACCUGGGAACGGCAUUCGAGACUGUGUUGCUGGAGUACGGAAGAGGAGGGCGGAAUUCCCGGUGUAGCGGUGAAAUGCGUAGAUAUGCGGAGGAACACCGAUGGCGAAGGCAAUCCCCUGGGCCUGCACUGACGCUCAUGCACGAAAACGUGGGGAGCAAACAGG